rnacentral:lncRNA from 1 species
AAAAAGAUGAAAGGGAAUACCUUGGGCAAAACAAAAGCCAGGGCAAUUUGUGUAGGGAAAUCUAAAGAAAAAAAAAAAAGACAAGAUAGAGUAAUAAGGAAAAAACCUCGGCUAUGAAAAAAGAAACCAAACUUAAUAGCGGCAUAGGAGGCCAGGGGCUUUCACUUUUUCCUCUACACCUUUCUGUAAUGUUUGGAUUUUUAACAAUAAAUAUGAAACACUUUUUUUUUUUUUUUUUUUUGAUACGAAGUCUCGCUCUUGUUGCCCAGGCUGGAAUGCAAUGGCGCAAUCUCGGCUCACCGCAACCUCCGCCUUCCGGGUUCAAGCGAUUCUCCUGCCUCAGCCUUCCAAGUAGCUGGGAUUACAGGCAUGCACCACCACGCUAAUUUUGUAUUUUCAGUAGAGAUGGGGUUUCUCCACGUUGGUCAGGCUGGUCUCGCACUCCUGACCUCAGGUGAUCUGCCCGCCUAGGCCUACCAAAGUGCUGGGAUUACAGGAAAUACUUUUAUAAUUCUGUAAAAACAAGAGAGAUUUAUAUUUUGAGUAAAAAAGUAAAAAUCUCAGAAUGCAGUAUACUGGUUUUUAUAUCAUAUUUAAUACAUGAGUAAGACACCAGGCUUGGUGGCUCACUCCUGUAAUCCCAACACUUUGGAAGGCCAAGACAGGCUGAUAGCUUGUGCAUAGGAGUUCGAAACCAGUCUAAGCAACAUAUCAACACCCCAUCUCUACAAAAAAUGCAAAAAUUAGAUGGGCAUUGUGGCAUACGCCUGUGGUCCCAGCUACUCGGGAGACAGAGGUAGGAGAAUCGCUUGAGCCCAGUAGGUUGAGGCUGCAGUGAGCUGUGAUCACACCAGUGCACUCCAGCCUAGGUGACAGAGGGAGACCCUAUCUCAAAAAAACAAAAAAACAACCAACCAAACAAACAAAAAACAUGAGUGAAGAGGCAUCACAAAUUAGUGGGGCUGAGAAUAUUCAAUAUACAGUAAUGGAGCAACAAUUACCUUUUUUGGAGAAAAAAAGAGAAAUUUAGGUCCU